UAUUAUUCUCAUAAUCAACGCUGUAAAAUAUUAUUCAGUUAUUGUACAUCAGAUUUGUACCUACAAACAUGGGAAAAAGUAUUAAUUUUAUGAUAGCUAUAUUUUUUAUAUUAAAUGUCCUUGCCUGUACAUACGCUAAUGAAUGUAAUGGUAACAAAACGGCCAGUGGAAAAUAUAUCAUUGCUUUUAUGGAAAUAUUCAAUCCAGAUAAGCCCUCAACGAAGCCAGUUUUUUUUUGUAAUUUCGUAAAAACAUAAAAAAUUUAAUUUUUAUUUUAUGUUUGCACUUUUAAAAUUAUGAUGGUUUAAUGUAAGAAACUUUUGU